AACGUAGGAGACAAACGUUAUCCGGAGUUACUGGGCGUAAAGGGCGUGUAGGUGGUUGCAGUAAGUCUGGCGUGAAAUUUUUCGGCUUAACCGGGAAAGGUCGUCGGAUACUGCGUAGCUAGAGGACGGUAGAGGCGUGUGGAAUUCCGGGUGUAGUGGUGAAAUGCGUAGAGAUCCGGAGGAACACCAGUGGCGAAGGCGACACGCUGGGCGUACCUGACACUGAUGACGCGAACAGCGGUG
rnacentral:rRNA from 1 species